rnacentral:tRNA from 1 species
CAGGGAGACAACAAAACGUAAAUAUUAAUUUUGUCACCUUAGGUCGAUCGGUAUCUCAGAUUCUUAUUUUAAGGAUUUCAGUUUCUAAGUUUUUUCUAGGUCACACCCAUCACUUUUUCCUGGGCCAUUAGCUCAGGUGGUUAGAGCGCACCCCUGAUAAGGGUGAGGUCCCUGGUUCAAGUCCAGGAUGGCCCAUAUCUCUAUGUUGGGGGUAUAGCUCAGUUGGUAGAGCGCCUGCUUUGCAAGCAGGAUGUCAGCGGUUCGAGUCCGCUUACCUCCACUGAAUACCACCUCUUACAUGUUUUAAAGAGGGAAAUUGUUUUGAGUCGUGUCCUACUUUGCUCUGAGCGAAUCUAGCUUCCUAUUUUAGUUAAUAAAUAAGAUGCUGGACUCAUUGAAUUAUUUUCAUUGUUUUCAGAGAACCUUGACAACUGCAUAGAUUAUUUUUGAAGACAAUAAGCAUCUUUAAUGAUGCAGAUUUAUUAUUUGUGCGAAUGCAUUAAAUAACAAUUCUAUUAAGCUGAUGCUUCAAUUAAUGAAGUUAUU